GGGCCACCUGAACUUGACCCUCAGGGCAGAUAUCCUAGAGUUCCAAGGAAGGCCCAGGCUGGGCCAAGAAGCCACCUCCAGAAUGCUGUUGUGGUGACACAGAGCACGCAGGGAAGUGGGAGAAGCUGAGAAGGUGAAGCCGCUAAUGAUGUAACUUGCAGAUCCCUGCUGGAUCAACUCAUUUCUCUGUGCAGAAGAUCAGCCACUGUUCAAGGAAUAUAGAGCCCCACUCAGGGCCAAGGAGAGGCUCCAGAAAAAUCACAAACACAAGAAUGUGUGUGAGGUACUGGAUAAAGCUGAGCAUGCUGUCCCAGGCAUGGGGCCUUCUCACCGGUUCUCUGAAGCCACCCCCUCCUUUAUGCCUUGAGGCUGCUUGCUGAUGCCAGGAGUAAAAGAAAUGACUCCUGCCCCUCUGUCUGUGUCUCUCUGUCUCUCUGUCUGUGUCCACCCUCCCCCCCCACCCCCCAAAUCUGUCU
rnacentral:lncRNA from 1 species